rnacentral:rRNA from 1 species
GAUGAACGCUGGCGGCGUGCUUAACACAUGCAAGUCGAACGAAGCCCCUCUCCCGAAGUUUGCCUCAGCUUGCUGUAUAUUGAUUCAUUUGAGGUUACUGCGUGUCCUACUGUUUAGUAACGCGUGUGUUACCUGCCUCUUAGAUGGUGCCAACUGUUGUAAACGACUGCUAAUACCGCAUAGUAAGAACUUUUCGCAUUUUUUCUUCUUGAAAGGUUUUUCGCUAUGAGAUGGAUCCGAGUCUGAUUAGCUAGUUGGUAAGGUAACGGCUUACCAAGGCGACGAUCAGUAGCCGGCAUGAGAGAGUGAACGGACACAAUGGGACGGGGAAACGGCACAAAAUACUACGGGAGGCAGCAGUGGGGAAUAUUGCAAAAUGGGGGAAACCCAGAUGCAGCGACGCCGCGUGAGUGAAGAAGUAUUUAGGUAUGUAAAGCUCUAUCAGCAGGGAAGAUAAUGACGGUACCUGACUAAGAAGCCCCGGCUAACUACGUG